rnacentral:rRNA from 1 species
CAAUAGCGUAUAUUAAAGUUGUUGCAGUUAAAAAGCUCGUAGUCGGAUUUUGGCAUCAUGCCGAACUGUCAGCCGAUUGGUUUGUACGGUUUGGCGGGUGCUCUCCUUCCGGAGGCUCGUUUCCUCUUUCAUUAGAGGGUUCGAUGGUUCCGGGUCUUUUACUUUGAAAAAAUUAGAGUGUUCAAAGCAGGCCUAUGCUCUGAAUAGGUUAGCAUGGAAUAAUAAUAUAGGAUCGAGAUUCUAUUUUGUUGGUUUCUAGAAUCACGAUAAUGAUUAAUAGGGAUAAUUGGGGGCAUUUGUAUUAACGCGUCAGAGGUGGAAUUCUUGGAUUGCGUUACGACAAACUACUGCGAAAGCAUUUGCCAAGGAUGUUUUCAUUGAUCAAGAACGAAAGUAUGGGGAUCGAAGACGAUCAGAUACCAU